rnacentral:rRNA from 1 species
AGGGUGAUACACAGGUACUGCAUGGCCGUCGUCAGCUCGUGUCGUGAGAUGUACGGGUUAAGUCCCGAAACGAGCGCAACCCCCUAUCCCAUGUACAAGUGUCUUGGGAAACUGCCUCGGUAAAACGGGGAGGAAGGUGGGGAUGACGUCUGGUCCGCAUAGUCCUUAUGUCCUGGGGCUACACACGCGCUACAAUGGUCGGUACAAUGGGCAGCCAAGCCGCAAGGCGGAGCUAAUCCUUUAAAACCGAUCUCAGUUCGGAUUGUGGGCUGCAACUCGCCCGCAUGAAGUUGGAUUCGCUAGUAAUCGUGGAUCAGCCAUGCCACGGUGAAUACGUUCUCGGGUCUU